AGUUUUACUCGACGCUCCUGAAACGAGUAUCGCGUGACGAAAUCUUACCUUCAGAGCGGCUAAUUCGAACAAUAAUCGAUCGUUUUCGGACCACAUUCACUCUUUUUUUUAAUAAUAAUGUGCAUCCCGUGAGACGCCGAAUAAUGCACACUGGAGGAGCUAUAGCCGCUGUACAGGAAGACAACUGAAGAAGAUCCAAAUAAUCUAUUCGUCGCAGUUCUCACCAACUGGGGUUAUGUCCUUCCACUUUGUGGAAGAUUUUACGAAAGGAUUUUGGUCUUAAAGGCUUUUUUCAAGAUUCAACUUGUGCAGGAAUUAAAGCCAAAAGAUAUUAAAAA